rnacentral:lncRNA from 1 species
AUUUAUUUUAUGCUAAUUUUAUCUCAUAGUUAAUUUUAAAAGCAAAAUUUUCUUUAAUAAUGAAUUAUGGACCAUCAAGAUAACUGUCUUAGUGGUUUGGUUUUUUUUUGGUUUUUUUUUGUUUUUUUUUUUUUUUUGCUGUGACAAAACACCAUUACCAAAAGCAAGUUGGGGAGGAAAGGGUUUAUUUAGCUUACACUUCCAUAUUGCUGUUCACCACUGAAGAAAGUCUGGACAGGAACUCACACAGGUGAGGAUCCUGGAGGCGAGAGCUGAUACAGAGGCCACGAAAGGGUGCUGCUUGCUGCUUACUGGCUUGCUUCCCAUAGCUUGCUCAGCCUGCUUAUAGAACUCAGGACCACUAGUCCAGGGUUGGAGCUAUCCAUAAUGGGCUGGGCCCUCCCCAUCAAUAACUAAGAAAAUGCCUUACAUCCAGAUCUUAUGGAGGCAUUUUCUCAAUUAAGGUUUCUUCCUUUCAGAUAACUCUAGUUUGUGUGUCAAAUUGAUGUAAGAGUCCCCAGCACUGAGCGAGUAAGAUGCUUUCCACCAUUCCUAGGAACCAUGGGACAUCAUACAUGUGUGUGACUACUCAUGUAUGCACAUAAACAAACAUAAAUAAAUGUAACUUUUAAAGUUAAAAUAAUAAUAUAAUGAAUUGAUUUCUGUGGCUAUAACUACCUUUCCAAAUUGGAUUUUCAUUGUUAAUAUUUUUCUGAAAGACUUUUCUCUUAAUUCAUAAUCUUCUCUGAUGAAUUUUUUAUUCAAACCAUUGCUUUGUAGACAUCUUUCCUAAGAACAGCUUUAAGUGCCUAACAAAUGAGUUCCCAGAUCUUUUAUGGAAGAAAAUAAACAAUAGUUUUUAAAUGUAGUCAAAAACAAAAUAUACUUUCUGUUUUUCCUUCCAAAGAGAGACAGAUCAGCUGAACCCAGGCGGCUUCUCCACAUGAGUAGUCUUAUAAGCAAUUGUUGGAUCGCAAAACCAAAGCUUUUCGGUGGAUAAAAAUGUCUCUGUGAUGACCAGCCUCCCACUGUUUCCCUUAGGAAACUUCUGAAAUAAAAGUCCUUUACAUUUCAGUCAGGACUCUGUCGUUGACCUCCUGGAACUUUCAGUCUAGGGGACAACCAAAGUAAAACACAAGAAACAAGUGAGUUAAAGUGAAGUUGUUCAGAGAGAAAAAGCUGAACAGGGCACACAGAACAGCCCACUAGAAAUAGAGCGUGGCUUGAAAGAUGUAGCCAGAACAGUGUGAGGCAGAGUGGUGAGAAGGACCAGUCUGCUCAAAGAGUAAGCAGUGCACUCUUAGGAAAGACUCGGGUGUUCGUCCUGAGCAUUAAGAGUGGCAGGGCCAUGGAGGGAUCUAAGGUUGGGAGAUGAGAUGGAGGGUGAGGAAAGAUUUGAGAUAUCCCAGAGCAAGUGCUGAACUACUAGAAAAGCAGUGUUUGUUGAGAAAUCGUGAAAACAAAAUUUGUUCAACAUAAAGUAAAAUGUGUUUAUUAGCCUGACUUAAUGUAAGAUUCAUGGAAUAUAAAGUGAAAGAAGCAAGUCAAAGUUGAAGAUGUUUAUGUAGGAAUUAUCUAUUCAUCAGACUUAAACUCUCCUGAGCUUGAAGGAUCCACCAGAGCAGUGGUUCUCAACCUUCCUAAUGCUGCAGCUCUUUAAUACAGUUCCUCAUGUGGUAACCACCAAUCAUAAAAUUAUUUUUGUUGCAACUAAAUAACUGUAAUUUUGCUACUGUUAUGAAUUAUAAUAUCAAUAUCUUCUGAUAUGUAACCCUGUGGAGGUUGAGGAUGACUUCCCUAGAGAGAUUGUUCUCUUAGUCUCCUUGCAGAAUUACCUAUAGGCCAUCAAAUCCUGGAUUAUGCCUUGUCUAACCAAGAAGUUGACUGCUCUGUGUUAGGACGUUCUCUGGAAUAUUUUUGACACUUCACUCUCAGUUUAUCUCCUGCUUCUCUACCUUAGCUGUGAGGUCAGGGAUGGAAGGGGCUUGAUUUUCAAGCUGCACCUGAAGGCAUAUAUCAUACAGUGAGCACCUUAACCAUUAGUAGCCUCCAGGAGAGGAAGACUAGUCCACCUCACUCUGAAGACUAACCCAAGAAGUUGAUGGAACCAAUUUUUUGUAGUAAAUGUACUUCUAUCUUUAUAUCUUUUCAUAUCCCAAAGCAAGCAGCCCAAUUAAUAAUUUUUCUUUAAUUAGAUAGACACUUUUGUAUCUUUUUUAAUCCUGUAGAGAGCAUUAAAAUCUUGUUUUCUCUCCCUCAGAUCCAAGCUCUCAUUACGUGAUUACCUUGAAAGCAUUUAACAAUGUUGGCGAAGGCAUCCCCCUUUAUGAGAGUGCUGUGACCAGACCUCACACAGGUAGGACAUCUGUCUGUCUUGGUCACCUGCACUUUUCCCAACUGCUUAUGUAGAGUAUGACUCAGGGGUCUCCCUGAUGGGUGUUCAUGAGCAAAACUCAUGACAACUUGGAGAACAGACUUAGAAUGAGUGAUAAGCCAGCUUUGUAAAAGCUACCACAGAAGCAUUUUGUAUAGAUGUAUACACUUUUUAAUAUGUUAGAAUCUAGGAUGCAGAGUUUUGAGAGAAUUAUUCAUCAUGCAGGAAAUAUACACAUGAAGACUAUUACACUAGUGUAGCAGUUAUUCAUAAACAAGGACUGUCAAUUUAGAUUUUUAGUUAUAUAUAAAACGAGUUACUAUCACUUUAUGAGGAAACAGCAUUUAAUCUGAACUUGUAAAAUAAUGAGUAUGUGUAUUUAGAAAACCUAGCCAGGAGCUGGAAAAACCCAGAGGUCUUUCUGAACUGCAUUCCAGCUGUGGUCCUCAGUGAUUUUUUUUUUCUUUCUUUUUUCUUUACUCACCCUGGCCUUUGCUUUGCAGUAGAGCGUGUGUCUGUCACAUAGAACACAGCACAUGCGUACAUUCUUCAUCAAAUAAGUACUGUGAUCUCUAAAAUUCGUCAGUGCUAUGCCAUUUGAAUCUGUAACGAUCAUGGCAUUUACUGUACCUCAUGGAGACUUGUUCACUACCUUAUUCUGACUCCUAGAGAAAGUACAGCACACACUGCGACAUGGUGUCAGUUCACCUCUUAAGGAAGAGGAAUCUUUGGAUAUAUUCAGCUAUGAGCCAUUUCUCUACUGCCUCUGCACUUAAGAUAUCAGCAAGUCUGAAUUGGCUUAGCCAUCACACGUCCAAUGAUGGGCAGUAGUAGUAACUCAUGUCCCAAAAUCCAGCCAUAUUUAC